rnacentral:ncRNA from 1 species
CGACCCCGCGCGGGAGAGCCCGGCACACCGUGUCCGGGCGCCGAAGGAGCAAACCCUCCCCGGAAUCUCUCAGGCACCAGGACCGUGCGGGUGAG